AAAUCUGCAUUAAGAUACACAGUCCAUUAAAGUGCAGCUUGUUAUGUUUAAUCACAAUAAGACACGGCCAACAGAUUCUCCUCAUGUUUUGAAGAACCAAUUUGUGUUCAGAAUGUUUACAGUGAAAAAGACAGGCACAAAUUCAUCUCGUUUAACAUGCAAGUUGUGGCAUAAGCACAAUUUUUAUGACCUGUGAUACUAUCUGCCCUGAUGAUAAUGAUGAUGGCAACUCUUGGGUCACUUAUUGGGGCAGAUCACUCUCUCUCUGAUUGCUUUGGAGGAACCAUUCUGCAGACUACAGUGCAAAACUGACAUUGUUUUUGGUUGGAGGCUUCCACUGCAAGAUUCAGAUAAGUGCACAUUUUGAAGGAUUGCUGUAUCCCCUCAGUCAUGAAGCUCACUGGGUGACCUUGGGCCAGUCGCAGUCUCUCAGCCUAACCUACCUCACAAGACUGUUGGAUAAGAUGAGGAAGGGGAAGAACAGUGUGCGUGACCUUGAGCUCCUUGAAGGAAAGAAGAUCCCAGCUCCAAUCCCUGACAAAUUAAAAGACAACCAGGCAGCAAGUGAUGUGAAAUAUAUCUGCCUGAGAUCCUGCUGAGCCCCUACUGGUCCAAAUAGACAAUACUGGAUUAGAUGGAGAAAUGGACAGACCUGUUAGUGACUGUGCCAUGUCCCAGCGCCUACUCCAACCUGGGGAAUUGUGGUUGUCCUAUCAGCCAGCCCUUAGGUCUGCGGCUGCUGUUGCUGAAUGCCAGGUGGAUGCAAGACGUCCCUCAUCCAUGAUCUCAUUGUAGAUGAUGGCAGCCAACAAACUGAAGCUCAAUCCAGCAACCCUGCAUCCCUCUGAAUGGCAAGCAAAGGGCCUGCUAUCUAUGGACUGCUUGGAUUGACACGUGAUCCAUGUGCUCAAAAUGGCAAUGGAACAGCUGCUCUGGGUUUAAUUUGAAAGUCUCUGCCUUGAAUGCCAAAAACCUUGUGGGCGGAAUCUAUCACCAAUCAAGAAAAGCUUAUGAACAGAGAAGGAUUCAUUAAAAUUAUAGAUGUCAGCAGCAGUGAGGGAGAAAUGAGUGCUACGUUCUUACUUAGUUGGAUGCUGUUGUUUACUAAUGAUUUUGUCUGGGUUAAUCUGAAGGCCACCUUUGCUGCUCAGUAAAAGACAACAUAGCAUGUUAAGAAGAACAAAGAAAAUGCAGGACGAUACAUGACAUGGUUAGUUAAGAGAUUUCCCCAUCACCAAUACAUGUUUAGUUUGUUUCCUCCGGACUAAACAAACAAAUUAACCCUCACCAUUCAGAUCACCAGUGUUGGCAAAAGGGCAAUGUCUAACCCUUGAAGAAGGCUCUUGCCCUGGGCAUGCCAGUUUAUAUCCCGUUUAAUUUCAUGCUCAUUAGGAUGUCCUCUGCCACAGCCAGCCCUCCAUCACCUAGGUGAGUUUCUAAGAUGAACAGAGCUAACAUAAAUUGACAAUGAAGAGAAUCUCUCUCUGUACUGUUUUCCUAGAACUUCAUUCUGAAAAGAAGUAUCUGCAUCACCUAAGGCUUUGUCAUUAACAUUUGUGAAUUGUACCAUUUGAAGCAGGUUUGUAUUUUCAGGAGCAUGGCUUGUGAAGGGAAGGAGCUUUAACCCUUUGCCCCAGCCAUUGGCCCAGUUGGAAUUGCCCUCUCCCCCACCAUGCCUGCUAUUCACAGAGGAUUCCUAUGACUGUGAGUGGUGAGAAGUUCCAGGAGCAAAACUGCCAGGUUUAGGUUCUUUUGGAUGAGAGUGCCCCAGAGACUUCAAAAGUUUGCUUUAUUUAUAAGUGGAGCAUAGUGGAAGCAAGCCGUUGGAGCAGGUGGCCAUCAUUGCCUAUUGUGGGAAGGAAUUCCACAGUGUAACUACGUGUUGUGUGAAGAAGCACCUUCUUUGUCCGUCCACAUUUAAUGGCUGGCAAAAAAUCUGGAUUCGAACAGUGACAUGUGUGCACACAAGUGGACUGGCACGAGACAAAGCAGAUGGAGUCAUUAUGGGCACAGCUGUCACACACCAAAAUGACUGUGUGAACUGGGCUUGAGAUGAAAUUGCUUCUAGCCUUUUCCAGUAGGCAGACCUUCACAGUAAGAUUCUAGGAUUAACCAAGGAAUAGUUGGACUUAAUUUUAUGAGCCCUUUAACAUUUUUUGGUGUAUUUCAUAGCCAGGCAGGCUGAUCCUAUGAACUGGUAGGAGACUGUAGGUUUGUGUGUGCUCUUGGUGUGAACUGUAUGCCUGAUGAUAUAGACUGUGCUCUUAGCAAUGCAGUAGCUCAAUGGAUAGUGCUGUAAUCGUCCCUGUGAACCUAGAGGCUCUUACCUGUAGAACAAUUGCAGGCACUGAGAAAAUCAUGGCUUCAUUAAACACUGGGUUUGUGUCA